CGAUGAAAACUGCUGUGGGAUUUGAAAUGUAGAUGCUGAUGGCGAAAUAUUUUGGUAGGGUGAGCCUGUUUGGCUGUGACCAUCAAAUGCACCUGAAAUCAAAACAGGAAGCGAUGACCAGCUGGUUACAAGUUUGAAGACCUGUUUAUACGACUCACAAACCGACGAGGAAGCAUUGGGGGUAUUUAUCGUACUCUGCUACAACAGAGAGCACCUUCUGCUAUAUCAGGGAACACCUGCUACAAGAGAGCACCUUCUGCUAUAACAGGGAGCACCUUCUGCUAUAUUAGGGAACACUUGCUACAACAGAGAGCACCUUCUGCUAUAUCAGGGAACACCUGCUACAACAGAGAGCACCUUCUGCUAUAACAGGAGCACCUCCUGUUAUAUUAGGGAACACCUGCUACAACAGAGAGCACCCUCUGCUAUAAAAGGGAGCACCUUCUGCUGUAACAGGAGGCACCUGCUACAACAGAUACCACCUUCUGCUACAACAGAGAACACUUUCUGCGACAACAGGGAGCACCUGCUACAACAGAGAACACCUUUUGCUACAACAGGGAGCACUUGCUACAACAGAGAGCACCUUCUGCUAUAUCAGGGAGCACCUGCUAUAACAGGAAGCACCUGCUACAGCAGAUAGCACCUUCUGCUACAACAGAUAGCACCUUCUGCUACUACAGGGAGCACCUGCUACAACAGAGAGCACCUUGUACUAUAACAGAGAGCAAAUUCUGCUAUAACAUGGAGCAAAUUCUGCUAUAACAGAGAGCACCUUCUGCUAUAACAGAGAGCACCUUCUGCUACAUGUAUAACAGGCAGCACGUUCUGCUAUAAGAGGGUACACCUUCUGCUCUAUUGCAAUAAAAUAGAGUACCUUUUCUUUAUACAACAGCUAGUAUUUCUUGUGAGUUCCGUCUUACACGUGGCUCACUGACAUGUAUGUUCGAUAAUGUCAAUAUAAUAUGCAUGUGUAAUUAACAUAUACAGAUGGUCAGUGCAACAUAAAUUAAAUGCACACAGUAGAUGCACAUGCAGCCCGGAGAAGGGGUGGGUGGGUUCGUAUGAACUCGCCAACCUCCACCUGAAAACCGAUUACCUAUCAAAAUCGAAAUUGAUUCCAUAUUGAACGUUGGUUAGACGUACGUAUUAAUUCAUUAAGACGAAUAAUUGAUUAUUAAUUUCAUUACAGAGAUGUCGAUAGAAUUAUCAGGAUGCAGGGUUUCACUCCAAUAAACCCACAGCGUCUUUAAAUCGGAUGUUCGAAAAAAAACACUAGCUCUGAACAACUAGCUGAUCAAAGUCCCGGUCGCAAUAGCGAGGAGCGUCCCCUGUGAAUUCUUAACUACGGCCUUGAGAUAACAUGCACUAACAGGGAAGGUCGGGUAUAUCUUUUGUCUUUCUCCGUGUUUUACAAUGUGUGAAAUGCUACGCGCUUAUCAUAUUUAAAUAAACUCAUGAUAUAUUAGGCGGGUAUUUUUAUUACUUCCUGAAAAUCAGUGUUGGCUGUACAUAUCUAAAAUAAAUUCUUUCUAUAACCAGUAUCGUUUUUCAAAGUGGGGGGUGGACGUGGGGGAUCAGAGAAGAUGACUCUACCAUUGUCUCAAAUUCUUGCGAGCUAAAACAAAAGGGUUAGUGUUCACCAUUCGUUACGUGGAUUCAGUUCUUCACUUCAAACUUCAAUAUAUUCUCAGAAUAUACCAUUCAAUACUACUAUGAAAAGGGGAGAUUAUACGUGCACAUUUUACUGUGCCUGUAAAAAUAACUAACAACGAAAAAUUACCGUUGUCAAAAAAGUUGGCGGGGGCAGCACACCCCCACCCCCUCGUUCCACGUGACUGAUUUAAAGAAUCCGAAUACCUACGUAUUCACUAAUGAGUGGAAUCGUUACGCAGGGCUUGAAUUCGAUACCGUUUACAUUACUUGUGUACUCUCUUCCAUUAAGGAGGUGCUCUACAUUGUUAUAAUGGCUGACUUCUUUUAAAAACAUGGAUGAAAAAAUCAAUAUCAGCAAUAUUUGACUUUUCCUUUUCUAUUUAGAUACCUAGCCGAGUGGCUCAAUAGGCUAGCAUAAUGACUGCUGAACUGUAGGUCGUAGGUUCGAGUCGAGCAGGGAUUUUAAUUUCCCCCCCCCCCCCCCCAGAUUACCUUCUACAAAAAUUGAAUUUUUUGACAAAAUAAAAUAAAUUUGAAAAUUUUCAACUUCAAAAUAUUGUACAUAUCCACCCUUUUCUUCUACAUCGAAUUUCUCUGUUGUAGCAUACGCCCUUAAUCAAUAAUGAACUACACUUAUUUGUAGGAAUUAAUUAUGCAUUUACUAAUGUUUGUCCGUUUGUUUGACUGUAUGAAAAAUGAUCCAACUAAUUUCUAAGGGAGAGAAGAUUGAUUUUCUCCCAAAUGAUAGAAAUAAUGAGUUUGAUGGAAGCGCAGGCCUUCCGACCGCCUGGACACAUCACGAGAAUCUCCAGGUUGUGGGGGUGGGGUGGGGGCUGACCACGCUCAGGGCCCUCUAUAUCAUUACUCAGCUGUACAAUGCUUGAUUUGUCGUGCAGUGACAGGCAAAUACAACAUGUAACAUGUUUUUGGAGCACAAAAGUAAAAUUGAAAGGUAAAAUUUUCCCGUACAUGAUCUGUCUCUAAAUAUAGAUUCACAAGAAAUUAAUGCUCUGGAAUUUGAUAUGUAAUUAAUAUUCAGAUGCUGUUAGAGUCUUUGUUUCGUACAAUAGCACGACCUUGUCAUUCAAUGUAAAAGACCAAGAUGUUGACAUCAAAGGUCUGUUUUUCAUCAUUAUCAUUUUACACCAAUGGAGUCUCAACUGUUUACCUUAAAUUCCUUCUUUCUUUCUUUUUUAUUUUUUUUAUUUUUUAGAAAAUCUAAAAGUACGUUUUUGAUAUGGCGCGAGGCUUCUCGGGUCGUAAACACUUGACAAAUUUAUUUCUAUAUCAGACCUUUAUACUUGAAUUCUGAAAGCUUAACGUUGUCAUUCUUAUCUUAACAAAAAGGUAAUGUAUUUUGUUUUGCCCUCGAUUUAAUUUAAGAUAGACUAAUCAUACGAUAUCAGAAAUAUUUUCAUAAGAACCAUUCGACAACAAAAAGAGGAAAAAUGACGAUAUCCAUCUUGAAAUUCGCCGAAUUGAACACAAAAUGUUUCUUACCGUUCAUGUCAAACUUGUCAGCGGGUACUGCGUCUAUUGAAUACUCCUCCCCGCACCACCGUAGCCACACAGCCACCUCCUCUUUCGUCCAUUGCUGGGGAUGUUUGGCU